AGAGUUUGAUCCUGGCUCAGGACGAACGCUGGCGGCGUGCCUAAUACAUGCAAGUGGAGCGACGAACCAGGCUUGCCCUGGGGCAAAGCCGCGAACGGGUGAGUAACACGUGGGUUACCUGCCUCGAUGACCGGGACAACCCGAGGAAACUCGGGCUAAUACCGGAUGUGCCCGCAAGGGGAAAGGAAGCUUAGGCCUCC
rnacentral:rRNA from 1 species